AGGGAAUAACUCGGACUUCAAACAAGGAUGGCGGAAAUUUUUCGCACUCCUUAUUCCGUAUCUCGUCCUUUUUUUCCCCUUUUGUUUUCGGUCAAGUCUUUCGUUGUUUCGUAAAGCCAGAUCUGACACUAUAAAUGCAAGCCUCAAGUCCUUUCUGUGUGUAAUUUUGUUGACUACUCAUACUAAGAAGGUAAUUAGUUUGGGUUUGGUUUUUCCUAUUUUCUGCUUUCGGUCCUCAAAUUUUUCUGCUAGUUUUUGGCUGUAAAAGUAAUAAUCACAGAGAUCUGAAAGAUGGAUUCCAAUAAUUCAACAACACAGGGUCGCGUUUCAAUUAUGGCUGGGGUAGGCAAUUUGCGACGUCAAAAUAGGAAGGAGAACUGUCCAUCUGUAUCUAUCCGAAAUGAAGGAAAGAUAUUCAACGAUCCUUCACGUUUGCCUAGGAGCAAUAAACCAUCUACAGACCGCGUUGCAUCAAAUCGAAGUAAUAAACGAAGAAAUAAUUAUAAUGGCCGAUCACCAAACCAAAGAGGGCAGUUGUCCAUGGUGCAAUAGCUUACUGGUCAAGUUUUUCAUUUCGAAGAGCACCAGAAGAAAGAGUCAGAUGAAAGUUGCACAAAAAGAGGACAAAAAUGCAAGAAAAGAGCACAAAAGCAUCAAGUACCCAAAUCGUGCUACAUACCAAAUACAGCCAGCUCUAUAGCCUGCUUUACCAUGCUACAGACCAAGUAAAGCCAGCUCUAUAGCUAGCUUGACCGCGCUACAAGCCAGCUCUGUAGCCAGGCUGACCGCGCUAUAAGCCUUGCCUCGCGAGGUUUAUAACCCAGUAAUUAAAAGUUGCGGGUUAAAAGAUUCUAACCCGAAUUUUGACUAAGGGAUUCCGGCCCUAAAAUAAAAAUACUCCCUUAACGAGUUGAGAAACUGUUGGACACUAUUUUGGAGAAGAAAAAGGCUACAGAGCACCGUGGUGCGAGAAUCAAACGAGUGUUUCCUCCGUUUAUCUCCUUACUUUGUAGUUUAAUGUCUUUGAACAUCAUGAUGAUUGUUGAUACAUUUAUGAGUAGCUAAACUUUCUAAUCUAGGGUUUGAUGGAAUCUAUUGGAGGAUAAUUUUCUACUAUGUUUAAUAUAGAUUUGCCUUUGAUGUU